rnacentral:rRNA from 1 species
UACGGAGGGUGCAAGCGUUGUUCGGAAUUAUUGGGCGUAAAGGGCGUGUAGGUGGCUUUUCAAGUCCGGUGUGAAAUCCCACGGCUCAACCGUGGAACUGCAUUGGAAACUGGAUGGCUCGAGGGUUGGAGGGGGUCGCGGAAUUCCCGGUGUAGAGGUGAAAUUCGUAGAUAUCGGGAGGAACACCAGUGGCGAAGGCGGCGACCUGGCCAAUCACUGACACUGGAAACGACGAAAGACGUGGGGGAGCAAACGGAACGAUUAGAAUACCCCUAG